rnacentral:rRNA from 1 species
CCUACGGGUGGCAGCAGUGAGGAAUAUUGGUCAAUGGACGCAAGUCUGAACCAGCCAUGCCGCGUGCAGGAAGACGGCUCUAUGAGUUGUAAACUGCUUUUGUACGAGGGUAAAUCCCGAUACGUGUAUCGUGUUGAAAGUAUCCUACGAAUAAGGAUCGGCUAACUCCGUGCCAGCAGCCGCGGGAAUACGGAGGAUUCAAGCGUUAUCCGGAUUUAUUGGGGUUAAAGGGUGCGUAGGCGGUUCGAUAAGUUAGAGGUGAAAUACCGGGGCUCAACUCCGGCACUGCCUCUGAUACUGUCGGGCUAGAGUUUAGUUGCGGUAGGCGGAAUGUAUGGUGUAGCGGUGAAAUGCAUAGAGAUCAUACAGAACACCGAUUGCGAAGGCAGCUUACCAAACUACGACUGACGUUGAGGCACGAAAGCGUGGGGAGCAAACAGGAUUAGAUACCCGUGUAGUC